GUCUACGGCCAUACUGUCCGAUCCCAUCUGAUCUCGGAAGCUAAGCAGGGUCGGGCCUGGUUAGUACUUGGAUGGGAGACCACCUAGGAAGACCAGGUGCUGUAGUCG
rnacentral:rRNA from 1 species